rnacentral:lncRNA from 1 species
AGUAUGAAUUACAAGUAUAAAAGAACAAAUUGAUUUUCCAAUCAUUAUUGGAGUUUUUCGGUUAUCUUGGAACACUGUUAUCCAGAUAUCUCUGGAGUAUAUAGGAACAUUUAAAAUGAUUUUCUCAAAUUUGUUUGAGGUUUAUUGGUUAGGUAUAAUUAUUGUGUAUGUUACGGAUAUAUUGAGAUGUAGAAUGAAUGAAGCAGUUAUUGAAUGAAUUCAGCUGGAGCACAAUGAAGUAGCGAAAAUUUGUUUUUUGGAUUGAAUUAUUAGAUAAGUUCAGAAAAGCAUACAUUUCAUUAAUUGGGUUAAAUUAGAACCUAAAAGAUUAAAUAAAAUACCUUUAUUUUAUUAAAAUUUAGUAUUAGCAGACUGACCCACAAUAAAAAUUUUGAAAUUUGAAAAUUUCAAAAUUUUUAUUUUUCACGUAUCGGCGAGAAUGUAAUGAAAUCGAAUAACCCCUGUAUAGAGCAGCUUUCUGCACGAAAGCAUUUAGCUUCUUUACAAGCGUAGCGCCACCUCUCUGUGAAAGAGAAAUGCAAUUCAGAAGCUUUUUGGCUGCGGCGUGAGUACCGUUGCGAUCUCACAACGUUGCAACAAACCAUCCAAAAUUUUUAGAAAAAGAUAGGCUGGCACUCAAAAACAAACCAGUGGAAAACGGACUAAAAAAAUGUAUAAGUCCAUCAUGCAUAUAAAACAGAAUGAGACAGCCUCAAUUUAGGUAGAUUUUUUAUGAAAAGAUGGGAAUUUCAAUAGCGUCCAGUGUUCAAGGUCACUGUUUGAAUGCAGAAUUUAGUUGGCAUGGGUUUUUUAAAUUUAUUCGAGUGGAGAUCGUGAACAAGUGCACAUCGGGAAAAAACUGAGUAUUGAAAGUUAAUACCAAGUGAAGUUGAAUUGAACAUCUUAACAAGGUAGUGAUUAAAAUAAGUUCAAACGUUUUGAGAAUUAAUUAUUAAAUUAAUUUAGGUACGGCAGAGCCAAGUGAUAGGCAAAUAUUUAAAUUAAAUAGUGUUGCUAGUAGAAUAACACGUGCUAAAAAAAACAACUCACCGGUAAUGAGCUUGAAUUUCAAAUCAAUGUAGGCCCAAAAGAUCUCUAUCGGGAUUUAGCUGUUCUGGAAAGACAGGACGAGCUGGCUAAAACCGUAUUCGCUGGUAUAAUCCCCACUGCUCAACGUGGGUGCCAGUCUGGGACCAGAAAGUUGUUCGGAUACCCGUUAAACAUCCGAUAAGCAAUCCAGAAGGACCACCCUAAUCGCUUUCCCUCCUGACAAGCCACCCCACUCCCAUCCGGGGAAAUUCUGAGUGGAAGCGUUUGGGAGCAUCGUCUACUACCGCAUUACUAGAGACGGCCGCGCCACUGGUGGCCAACAUAGGAACCAGCAGUAUUCUCCAAGCGUUUCACUGCUCGACACGUCACACGGGUUGCCUACCUAAUAGCGCAACAUAAUCAGCCGAUCCGCUCGAUAGCCGAAUCUGCUGGAAUCGCCGACCAGGGGUCUGCAUCACGUUAGUGCACACGGAGCAGGAAUUGUGCAACACUACGCUCGUUCAGUUGGAUGUACGGUGCCCGCUGAUCGAAGCCCGUCUUCGUAUUCAAGUCCAAUAUCACCUGCCAGCCUUUCCGCCACCCGGCCAAGUCCCAUUGGUCGCUGCGUUACGACUACUACCACCACGCUCUUUCAGUUGGAUGAAUGGUGCCCGCUGAUCGAUGCCCUUCAUCACGCUCGUUUGAAUAUCAACCCGCCAUUCCGACUCGGGCCCAGUCCUAUUGGUCUCUGGGUUAACGAGUACCACGCCAUCUACCACGAUUUCACCACCAAGACGCUUCCCGCCACGCUGCUUCCGAUUGCUGCUGCCGAUCUUCUGCGCCAAAACAGGAUAACAGGUCAGAUCUGAUUUUUUUUUUAUGAACCAUAAUGAGCUCGAAGAACUUCAUGUAAAGCAAGUGACGUCACUUAGGUAAAUUUAAAAACUAGAAUAUAGAACAUGUUGAAUUCAGAA